rnacentral:rRNA from 1 species
UACGUAGGGCGCAAGCGUUGUCCGGAAUUAUUGGGCGUAAAGAGCUCGUAGGCGGUGUGUCGCGUCGGAUGUGAAAGCCCGGGGCUUAACCCCGGGUCUGCAUUCGAUACGGGCAGGCUAGAGUUCGGUAGGGGAGAUCGGAAUUCCUGGUGUAGCGGUGAAAUGCGCAGAUAUCAGGAGGAACACCGGUGGCGAAGGCGGUUCUCUGGGCAUUACCUGACGCUGAGGAGCGAAAGUGUGGGGAGCGAACAGG